rnacentral:lncRNA from 1 species
AAAAUUUCUGAUGGAUUUAUGAAACCUCUCCCUUUCCAUGGCUUAUGAACUAGUUAUCACUUUUCUUUUUCUUGCCUUGUAAGAUUAUGGAAUUGUAUUCAAUGGUUCGAGGCUCGGACUAUCCAUUCGAAACUGAACUAGUACAACCCUUAUGAUCGAGUGAGUGUUUGAUCUAACCUGAAGUGAGGAAAAUCUUAGGUUUUUUAUUUGAGCGAGGAUGGUCGAACUCAAAGCAAAAACAGCCCUUAGGCUCUUAUAUUAGGCCGAUAUGGCCGUUGUAAAAAGAUUAUUUAUGGUUUUC